AGGUUGGUUGGUUGGAUGCGUCAAGUAGGAUGCGUCACGUAGGAUGCGUCACGCAGGUGCGUCACGCAGGUGCGUCACGUAGGAUGCGUCAAGUAGGAUGUGUCUCAUCUGGUUAGCACAUUCUUUUAGAAAAUGAAGCAGAUGCUUUUUGGUGCUUUCAACGAGCUAUGCGGAAAUUGAGAGAGAAUUUCAGGUCUGAUGCGAACUCUAUGGGAGUGCAAACUCAGUUGCGUGCCCUUUCAGGAAUUGUUAGAGUUAUUGAUCCAAAGCUUCAUCAACACCUUGGUUGGAAAAUCAUGGAUUGGACCCAAAUGCUGAAAUUGUUCCCAAGGGACCAAUAACUGGGAAAAUCGAUCCACGGG